rnacentral:ncRNA from 18 species
UUAUAAAUAUAAAUACUAGGUUUUUAUUAAUUAAUAGGGAAUGAUGUGGAAAUCAUCAACAGCCCCCGCUACUGUAAUUACGGACGAGUCUUUUUUUAGCCACUGAAGAAUUUCUUUGGGAAGGUAAAGAUUAGGAUGAUGUAUAAGUCAGGAGACCUGCCUAGAUAAAACCAACUUUC